rnacentral:misc_RNA from 1 species
AACGAAUUGCUAUGCUGAUUUCCUGUUAUCUGAAGCAAAAACACUUACAGAGGAUCAGAUAUCGAUGUUACUUUGGGAGACGAUCAUUGAAACCUCAGACACGACUCUGGUUGUAACAGAAUGGGCUAUGUAUGAACUUGCAAAAGAUCCGAAACGACAGGACUAUCUGUAUCAGCAUAUACUGAAUGUCUGUGGAUCUGCAAAGCUUACUG